rnacentral:SRP_RNA from 1 species
GCGCAGGUCCUGUGCGGCGCGGUGCCGUGAACCAUGUCAGGCGGGGAACCGAGCAGCAUUCAGCGGAUUGCUGCGCGCGCCACAGCCCGCCUGUGCGCC